rnacentral:rRNA from 1 species
GACGAACGCUGGCGGCGUGCCUAAUACAUGCAAGUAGAACGCUGAAGGAGGAGCUUGCUCUUCUGGAUGAGUUGCGAACGGGUGAGUAACGCGUAGGUAACCUGCCUGGUAGCGGGGGAUAACUAUUGGAAACGAUAGCUAAUACCGCAUAAGAGUAGAUGUUGCAUGACAUUUACUUAAAAGGUGCAAUUGCAUCACUACCAGAUGGACCUGCGUUGUAUUAGCUAGUUGGUGGGGUAACGGCUUACCAAGGCGACGAUACAUAGCCGACCUGAGAGGGUGAUCGGCCACACUGGGACUGAGACACGGCCCAGACUCCUACGGGAGGCAGCAGUAGGGAAUCUUCGGCAAUAGACGGAAGUCUGACCGAGCAACGCCGCGUGAGUGAAGAAGGUUUUCGGAUCGUAAAGCUCUGUUGUAAGAGAAGAACGAGUGUGAGAGUGGAAAGUUCACACUGUGGCGGUAUCUUACCAGAAAGGGACGGCUAACUACGUG